AACAUGCUUGGCUUUGGUCUCUGAGGAGCUCUGGUCCUAGCAACAUCUCUAGCUUUUGUGGUUCCUGACCCUGCUUUGGCUUGCUCUUGGACUUUGCAGUGUGGCUCAUUCUUCAGAUUUGGCCUCCGGAAUGGAGUCCUGUAUCCACUGGACUCGAACUCACUGGUUGGAUGCUCCAACUACCUCAUCUUCCCGGCUCUGCAGGCAGAAAGAAAUCUACCCACAC